AUCUCCCGGCGCCGCUCGCCUCGGCGUCACCGGCCUCUGCCCGUUUUUAAACAGCACCAAUUUCUCGAGGUGCGUUUUUCUCACGCCCGGCCUUAUUUCUAAACGGCCCGCCGGCCCGGCCCGGCGUGAGGCGCCAGGAGACCGCGCAGCCGAGUUGAAAUGCGGGAGAGGGUACGGUACGAGGUUAAGGCUGCCGGCGGCCCUUCUCCUCCUCCUCCGGCCUUCUCCCAAGACCGCGGGUUAAGGAGAAGAUCCGAAGCCGGCCUUUGGGCGCCGCUGGAACUCCCCGCCACUUGCCUGCGGCGGCUGCUGCCUGCCCACGCCGCGCGCGCCUGAAGGGAGGAAAAAGGCGCCUUGGGGCUGCCAGGUCGGCCUCCCGCUCUCGCUCCUGCGCGGGAGGCUUCUUCUGGCGCCAAUCACCUGAGGGCGGAGCCGCCCGCGCGCCUGAGGGAGGCCGGAGAUAUAUAGAUACAGAAAUAUAUAUUGAAGGCAGCCGGCAUGCAGAACUGAUAAGAAGCCGGCGUUGCGUCGAUGACAACAACUUCGCCCACUGCCAGGCUCGGGAGGAAGUUGGUGGAAGUUAGCGGGAAACUCUUGCACAACAACCCCGCGCGCCGGCUCCACGCAGGGUGGCGGCGGCGGAUCUUUCUUUCCUUCUUUCUUUCUUUCCUUCCCUCAGGCAGUCGGCGCGAACGAGAAGCAGUUCGCUGGUUUCGAAACCAAGCAGAGUUUCGCCGCGGCCCUUUCGCCUCCUACAGCCAAGAGGAGACCGUGGCAAAGCGCGACUCGUUAAGGUGCCUUUAACAGGGGGUGAAGUUUCUCUUUCAAAAGCAAACAGAAACGCCGUUCCGUCUGCCGUCAGUUUCAGGUCAUUAGGAUUUGAGGAACAAGUUGGAUAAAUGUUUUCAGUAUUGCAGGAAUUAAGAUGAAAAGGGUCUCUAUGAGUCCGAAUGAGAAAGAUGAGAAAGCUGAAAUCCCCUUCAAACCUUCUUCCUCUGUGAAAUCCCCAAUUGGGAGUUGCUACAGACUCAUUGGAUAACAGGAGAACAUCAAGUCCAUCUGAUGAAACAGGGCUUUCCCCAUGACUGGCAGAGUGAGGCAGCUGCCCUCAGGCAGAAGAUACGGAUGAGCAACAGUGAGGUGUUGGAACUGGGUGUGCCGCAUGACUUGCCCUACAAUCUCCGAACUCAUCUGCUGCACUCAAGUGUGCUGGAGGACAUUCAGCUACAGAGUGUUGAAGUGAGUUUCCACCGAUGUGCAGGUCGGCUUCAGUAUUUGGAACUGAGUGGUGGCGGCGAUGAGAAUCUCUGCCACCCCUGUUCUUGCCAUUGACAGCAGAUAUACACAGUAAGGCUAAAAUCCUAAACACACUUACCAGGAAGCUACACCAUUGGCUACAAUGGGAAGAACUGUAGCCCUGUGUCAUAGCCCUAUGGCAAUCGUUCCAACAGCAGAAGCUUUUCAGCUUGUCAAGUGAAACACCCCCCACCACACCUCCCGCCCUUGAGUGCUGAAACUUGACCCCCCAGAUCCAAUUUUUCAUGGGCACAAGGGGAAUGCCAGGGGGGGGAGAAAGCCAUGCUGUGCUUGCAAAAGUAAUAAAAUCAUAGAAUUGUGGAGCUGGAAGGGACCCCAAUGGUCAUCGAGUCCAGCCCCCGCAAUACAGGAAUCGCAGUUAAGUCCUUGUGAAGUCUUUUGCUAGUGGGAUUAGUUAGUUGAUCCCAUCCAAUGGCACUUACAACUUUUGAGUAAGUAAUGCAUAGGAUUGCACUUGCACCAGUUACUUUUUCAAGUGCUUAAUCUCCCUUCAUUUCCCACCUCUCUUCCAAGGGUCUCAAGGUGGGGUACAUGGUUCUUUUCUUCAUGUUAACCAACCCACCACAACAACAACCCCAUGAGGUCGGUUAGGCCAAGAGACAGUGAGUGGCCCAAGAUCACCCAGUGAGCAUUGUAGUCAAGUGGAAAUUUGAACCCUGGUCUCCCAGCGCUCUAACCACUACACCACACUGGCUCUCCACUGGCACCUUGGGGGUUGUUUUUCCCCUGGCAGGAUGCCCAUGCUUCUAAAGCUGCAGGACCUUCCACUUUUACAAGUGCCUUUCUCUCUUUCCAAAAAAAUGCACGUACUUUUGCUGACACCUUUCUACAGACCACAUUUAUUUUAAGAAAUAGACAUUGCAAUAAUUGCCUCCUCUGUGCUAUGUUUUCUGUGCUGGAUUUUUGCAAGGACUGUUUUGUCGUUUGCAGAUUUCAGAAAGUACCGAAGUAUAACAUCAUCAUCAUUAUUUUUUGCAUGGUUGUUUUUGUCAUGUGCCAAGUGAGUGGUCAUUUUUUGUGUGUUGGGCAGGGGAGAGCUCGGAUUCUGCAUCCCAUGGUGAGGCUCAUUCAUUGAUUUGUGUGGGAAUGGAGCACGGUCAGCUUCUCCCAUAAGGAAUUCAGCAUCUGGCUGGGAUGAACCCAUAUAGAUCCAAUUCUUUGUGUUGCUUUUAAAAGCCAUGCCAUGAGAGAGCGCUUAUGUGGCUUAAAAGAGCAAUGACUCACCCCUCUCCCCCUCCUGGUUCCCAUGAAGUCAGAAGUCACUUCUGGUGCUAAUAUUGACAACUGAAAAGAGAAAAGGGCCAGCGAACAAAGCUCACAUGACUGCAAUGGACUCUAGGUACACUGAGAAAAUUCACACACAGAUGCCUAUGCUGCAUGCUGCUUUGUCUUCCCUGAUUCCCAAGAGAGCUGGGCAUUUAUUACAACAGGCCUCCAAGGUAUCAGCUACACAAGCUCUGCUCCAUUUGCAGCAUUAUUUUGGUGCCUCCUGGGACUGCAUCCAUCCUUGUAUUCAAGUAAACAGACCCAUCAGCAAUUUUCUUCUUCUUCUUCUGGAGACUGAUCCUACAGAUAAAGUUCAGCAUUGUCACCGGUGCAACAAUAGGAGAGAAACCAAUUAACAUAAGACUAAGGAAAAGACUGGGUUUAUUUCAUUUGUCCCUGCCAUUGUAAAGAUAAGCCAAAUUGGUUUCUGGGAAAUGUACAUAAAAGUAUUUACAUUUA